UGCUGACUCUAGUCCAGUGCUCGUGAUGGCUGGUGGGCCCUGAACUAGGGGUCUGGAGG
rnacentral:precursor_RNA from 1 species